rnacentral:rRNA from 1 species
AACACGGGAAAACUCACCCGGCCCGGACACUGUGAGGAUUGACAGAUUGAUAGCUUUUUCAUGAUUCAGUGGAUGGUGGUGCAUGGCCGUUCUUAGUUCGUGGAGUGAUUUGUCUGGUUUAUUCCGAUAACGAGCGAGACUCUAACCUACUAAAUAGUUGAUAUUUUUUUUUGAAUAUACAACUUCUUAGAGGGAUUUGCGGUGUUUAGCCGAAAGAAAUUGAGCAAUAACAGGUCUGUGAUGCCCUUAGAUGUCCGGGGCUGCACGCGCGCUACACUGGCAAAAUCAGCGUGCUUGUCCUUCCCCGAAAGGGGCGGGUAAACCAUUGAAAAUUUGCCGUGAUUGGGAUCGGAAAUUGCAAUUAUUUUCCGUGAACGAGGAAUUCCAAGUAAGUGCGAGUCAUCAGCUCGCGUUGAUUACGUCCCUGCCCUUUGUACACACCGCCCGUCGCUGCCCGGGACUGAGCCAUUUCGAGAAAUUUGGGGACUGUUGAUUUAACUUUUUUAAAAAGUUUUUUUGAUGGAAACCAAUUUAAUCGCAGUGGCUUGAACCGGGC